rnacentral:misc_RNA from 1 species
AAGUCGUAACAAGGUUUCCGUAGGUGAACCUGCGGAAGGAUCAUUAACGAGUUUUGAAAGGGGUUGUCGCUGGCCUUUCACGAGGCAUGUGCACACCCUGCUCAUCCACUCUCAAUCUCUGUGCACUUAUUGUAGGUCGGUGGAAGGCUCGCAAGAGCUGGAAGCCUGCUUAUGUUUUACUACAAACGCUUCAGUUAUAGAAUGUUUACUUGCGUAUAACGCAUUUAUAUACAACUUUCAGCAACGGAUCUCUUGGCUCUC